rnacentral:rRNA from 1 species
UACGAGGGGGUGCAAGCGUUGCUCGGAAUUAUUGGGCGUAAAGGGUAGGUAGGUGGUCUCAUUUGUCUGGGGUGAAAUCCUUGAGCUUAACUCAAGAAGUGCCCCAGAAACGGUGAGACUGGAGUCUUGGAGAGGGUCGUGGAAUUCCCGGUGUAGCGGUGAAAUGCGUAGAGAUCGGGAGGAACACCAGCGGCGAAGGCGGCGACCUGGACAAGUACUGACACUCAACUACGAAAGCGUGGGGAGCAAACAGG